CAGCCGUUGCUAUAUAUGGUAACCUCCUUCGCCUCUUUCCCUUCGUCCUCUGUCCACUCCCUCCCCUUCUGCCAGCGUGUGCUGCCUGCCUGCUUUGUUUCUGCGUGCGUUAGUGCAGGAGUGUUAUGCGUUCUUGUAUGCAUACUAUGUGUGCGUGAUGGUCGUGCUCUGCGCGUGUGAUGCAUGUGUGUGCUGCCUGACUACUACUAUUUCAUGUAGUACUAGUGAACUGUUACUAUUUCCUCUGUUUGACAAAAUGGUGUUGAUACUAGCGAGUCAUCUGCUAUUUUGGUACUGAUCUAUAAUUGCAAAUUGUAUUGGAACUAGUAGUGACUGCUCCAUUUUGGUACUAGUGACUACUACUGCUAUUGUCAUUCGUUUAUAUGGAUUUGCAAAUUGACACUUGGCUGUAUUUUGCAUAUGUAUUGCUACUGCUACUAUGAAUUUAAACACAGGACUAUUGUGUAUGUUUGAUCUGAUGUGGAUUUUGAUGCUAUGCUUUGUGCUGCUGCUCUGCUAUGUUUAAUUAUUUAUGCAAAACUGACGACUACCUAUGUAGAUGUUUGUUCCUUUCACGGAUGCAAUUGGUCAUAGGGCAACCAAAUACUUGACAUGGUUGGUUGCUUCCAAAUGCGGAAAUCUGAUUUAGUAAUGUCAUAUUUUAUUAUGUCUCUGAUAAGUACCAAGUUUCAUCUUAUGUGCAGAUUCAUAUUGAGGAAAGGAAGAAGUAGUUUCUCCUCAUGUCUACUGUCAUGUGUUAGCAUCCUUAUUUAUGACCUUGUUUGAAUUUGUGUGCAAUGCAAUGAUAAAACUUGUGGCAUGGUUGUUUAUUCUGUGAUGGCAGCAAUAGAGUAUGAUUGUAUUUCACCAUGACCAUAUAUUUUCCAAUCAAAGGAUGGUCUCAUGUAAUAUAUAAUUAAUAACAUAUGUUAUAAUGAGUUCAAAAGUAUUGUCAUGUGCGUAGAAUGUAAAUUUAUUGAUAUACAUUGUAUAUGCCAUCAUGCCAUCAAACUGGUAUGAUUUCAGUUCAAAUC
rnacentral:lncRNA from 1 species